rnacentral:rRNA from 1 species
GGGGGCCCGCACAAGCGGCGGAGCAUGUUGCUUAAUUCGAUGCAACGCGAAGAACCUUACCUAGGCUUGACAUGCACGGAAAUCCUCCAGAGAUGGUGGGUCCGCAAGGGUCGUGCACAGGUGGUGCAUGGUUGUCGUCAGCUCGUGUCGUGAGAUGUUGGGUUAAGUCCCGCAACGAGCGCAACCCUCGUUCUAUGUUGCCAGCACGUGAUGGUGGGGACUCAUAGGAGACUGCCGGGGUCAACUCGGAGGAAGGUGGGGAUGACGUCAAAUCAUCAUGCCCCUUAUGUCUAGGGCUGCAAACAUACUACAAUGGCCGGUACAAAGGGCUGCGAUACCGCGAGGUGGAGCGAAUCCCAAAAAGCCGGUCUCAGUUCGGAUUGGGGUCUGCAACUCGACCCCAUGAAGUCGGAGUCGCUAGUAAUCGCGGAUCAGCAUGCCGCGGUGAAUACGUUCCCGGGCCUUGUACACACCGCCCGUCACACCAUGGGAGUUGGUUCUACCCGAAGGCGAUGCGCUAACCCGUAAGGGAGGCAGUCGACCACGGUAGGGUCAGCGACUGGGGUGAAGUCGUAACAAGGUAACCGUAAGGGC